GAUGAACGCUAGCUACAGGCUUAACACAUGCAAGUCGAGGGGCAGCAUGAAUUUACUUCGGUAGAUUUGAUGGCGACCGGCGCACGGGUGCGUAACGCGUAUCCAACCUUCCCGUUACUCUGGGAUAGCCUUCCGAAAGGGAGAUUAAUACCGGAUGGUGUUCAAUUGGUGCAUAUUAUUUGAACUAAAGAUUUAUCGGUAACGGAUGGGGAUGCGUGACAUUAGAUAGUAGGCGGGGUAACGGCCCACCUAGUCUACGAUGUCUAGGGGGUUCUGAGAGGAAGGUCCCCCACACUGGAACUGAGACACGGUCCAGACUCCUACGGGAGGCAGCAGUGAGGAAUAUUGGUCAAUGGUCGGAAGACUGAACCAGCCAAGUAGCGUGAAGGAUGAAGGUUCUAUGGAUUGUAAACUUCUUUUAUACGGGAAUAAAACCACCUACGUGUAGGUGCUUGUAUGUACCGUAUGAAUAAGCAUCGGCUAACUCCGUG
rnacentral:rRNA from 1 species